CGACUUCCUAGGCGCCGCGAUACAGUAAAUCUUAGGCCCCUCUUCCUCUUCCGCCGCUUUAAUCUACAUCCCUCUUCCUGAGUCUCCACCUCUGUUCCCUCUUCAAUUGUUACUGUAAGAACACUGACUCUUUCUCGUCCCGCUGCUACUGCACACAGGAAGGAAGGGGAAAUACACAGCCAGUGGAAAGUAGGAUCGGCAUCAUCCAACGCAGGGAAAACCGCGGGGUUGAGCGUAGGUUACAUGUACUGGAUGGAGCUCUCCCCUUCUUCCUCCAAACUAGGAAAGACUGCUGUCUUCAGUGUGGCUUGCAAACCCCUUUCUGUAAUUCGGGGAGGUGUAGCGAGCAGCGAUGAAUCUGACCCAUGCCUUGAUGCUUCCUGCCCCAUCCUAGCUGCCUGACUCCUGCAAUGCUGAGGGUGCUCGAGUAACUUCUUAAACAGAUGAGAAGUAAAUGCUAGCCUGCCUGCAACAGGUGCCAUAUUGCACACGCAUGGGUUUUACCUAGUCUUGAUAAUUCUCAGUGUUUCUGCUUAGGCUGUGAAGUGCCCAGAAGAGAGGGUGAGCUUGUGGCCACGGUAACAUACUGAUUUGUCAUAGAUAAACAAAGUUACUUUAGUGGAAUAUUCCCAUAUUUUUCUGUGCAGUUUUUUUCAUUCAGUCUCUUUAUUAGUGUUAGGCUCCAAAGGACAGGGAUCGGUGUUUCAGAAUGGGGAGGGGAAGCUCCAAACCUUGCAUAGCUCCUGACUGCUGCAGGAGUUUUCCUAUA